CCUACGGUGUGCAGCAGUGAGGAAUAUUGGUCAAUGGCCGGAAGGCUGAACCAGCCAUGCCGCGUGAAGGUCAGUGCCCUAUGGGCGUUAAACUUCUUUUGUGCGGGAGCAAUAAUGGUCACGUGUGGCCAGACGAGAGUACCGUACGAAUAAGCAUCGGCUAACUCCGUGCCAGCAGCCGCGGUAAUACGGGGGAUGCAAGCGUUAUCCGGAUUCAUUGGGGUUAAAGGGUGCGCAGGCGGGCCGUUAAGCCGGCGGGAAAAUCGCGGGUCUAAACCCCGCCGUGCCGUUGGAACUGGGGGCCUUGAGUGCGGCGGAGGCAUGCGGAAUGCGCGGUGUAGCGGUGAAAUGCAUAGAGAUCGCGCAGAACCCUGAUUGCGAAGGCAGCGUGCCGUGCCGCCACUGACGCUGAGGCGCGAAAGCGCGGGGAGCGAACAGGAUUAGAUACCCGAGUAGUC
rnacentral:rRNA from 1 species